GGUUGUUAAAAGGUAAAACUAAUAGUGGAUUUAAAUUAUAAUCCACUUUUAUAAUUUAAAUCCACUAUUAGUUUUACCUUUCAACAACC